rnacentral:rRNA from 1 species
UACGAAGGGGGCUAGCGUUGCUCGGAAUGACUGGGCGUAAAGGGCGCGUAGGCGGUUUGUACAGUCAGGUGUGAAAUUCCCGGGCUCAACCUGGGGGCUGCACUUGAUACGUAGGAACUGGAGUGGGGAAGAGGGUCGUGGAAUUCCCAGUGUAGAGGUGAAAUUCGUAGAUAUUGGGAAGAACACCGGUGGCGAAGGCGGCGACCUGGUCCUUGACUGACGCUGAGGCGCGAAGCGUGGGGAGCAAACAG